UGUUAAUUUGAAACAGAUUGAGUAAUAUUGACCACAACAUAUAUAAUUGUUCUUUUGAUAACAGCACAACAAUAUAAUUUAUGAGUUGUAAUUUGAUUACCCAAGUUAUUACCCUAAUGGUUAGUGAGUCAAAAUAACAACUCAAGCUGGCCUUAGCUAUAGAUAUAAUAGUAUUCCUAUGUGAAGAUGAAAAGACUAAAAGGUAACCAAAAAAAAAGCAAAAGGGCCAAAUGCCAAAUUAAAACUCGCUUCAUUUUGUCGUCAACUCGGCGAUAAUUUUGGAUAAUCCCUUUGCAAUAAAAAGACAUGCGCACCUUACAUAAAGUUAUAAAAACUCAUUAUCUUUUUGUCGUCAAGUAAUGAUUGAUUUGAGAUAGUGUUUUUUAUUUUAUUAAUUUUUUCAACUUUAAUUACUGUAAUAAGCGAUCUUCUUCUUCUUCUUUUUUUGUAAGUUUUUAAUAUUUUUCUCGAAUCAAAAAGAGAGAGAUGAGAAGAAGACUGGUUUACUAACACCAAUGGUUGGAGUGAGAGGAUCAAAUCCAGAACCAGCUGAAGCAAAGCUAACUCCACUCAUUAACUCAGUUAUUCCAAGAUUUGGGUCCAAAUAUGCUGGCACAUUCUCCUUCACUCCAAUGUUUCACAAGUUCCGGUUUUGGUGUAGAGAAAGAGAAGGGUAUGAAGAAUAGGAAGAUGAAGAAGAUGAAGGAAAAAGAAAAAGAAUGACCUCUCAUGUUGUGAACGAUUGGAGUGGAGACAAAUGAGAAGCUUGGUUGAUACCUUCUAAUGUAAUCACAUAAUAUAAUAUAAUAUCCAAUCAUAUUUAUUAGAGGUGUCUAUUUUUGGUUUAAACAACCAACCCAAAUCAAAGUUCUAUAUAAAAAAAAUCUCAAA